UAGGGAAUCUUCCGCAAUGGGCGAAAGCCUGACGGAGCAACGCCGCGUGAGUGAUGAAGGUCUUCGGAUCGUAAAACUCUGUUAUUAGGGAAGUACAAAUGUGUAAGUAACUAUGCACGUCUUGACGGUUCCUAAUCAGAAAGCCACGGCUAACUACGUGCCAGCAGCCGCGGUAAUACGUAGGUGGCAAGCGUUAUCCGGAAUUAUUGGGCGUAAAGCGCGCGUAGGCGGUUUUUUUAGUCUGAUGUGAAAGCCCACGGCUCAACCGUGGAGGGUCAGUGGAAACUGGAAAACUUGAGUGCAGAAGAGGAAAGUGGAAUUCCAUGUGUAGCGGUGAAAUGCGCAGAGAUAUGGAGGAACACCAGUGGCGAAGGCGACUUGCUGGUCUGUAACUGACGCUGAUGUGCGAAAGCGUGGGGAUCAAACAGG
rnacentral:rRNA from 1 species